UACGUAGGGUGCGAGCGUUAAUCGGAAUUACUGGGCGUAAAGUGUGCGCAGGCGGCCAUGCAAGUCGAGUGUGAAAGCCCCGGGCUUAACUUGGGAAUUGCGCUCGAACUACGUGGCUGGAGUGCGGCAGAGGAGACUGGAAUCCCGGUGUAGCAGUCGAAAUGCGUAGAUAUCGGGAGGAAUACCGAUGGCGAAGGCAGGUCU
rnacentral:rRNA from 1 species